CUCCGAGCCCAGAAACAAAGUCGCAUGCCCCCCCCCCCUCCGUGUUUGCUUGGAAAUUGCUGCCUGCAGCACCCCCAUUCCCGCGCAGCUCCCGCCCCCUGGGAGCCUUAAGGACUAAAUAAACAGUUGUAACUCCAAACCUUGCGCCUGCCAUCGCAGCCCUAUCCCACCCCUUUCCCCCGGUUCUGCCCCUCCUUUUUUGUUGUUGCAACUUUGUAAGAUCCCGGGAAGGUGCUGAGACUAAGGCUCAGGCCGCGCUCCGGGUCUCCGGAUCCCUGCAGGGAUUCCCGGCCGCGCAUCCUCCUCCCCUGUCCCCGAGCGCUUGGAGGUUGCCUCCUCUAUCUCUGGUCUCGCCCCCUUCCGCCUAAUCACCUCGUCCCCUUCGAUCCCCCCCACCCCGAAACCUUCACGGAAGGAAGACUUGCUGAGGGUCGUCCCGGUCUCUUGUCGGUCACAGACCCCGAAAGUUUGCCCCAGGAGGACGGCGCGCGGCGGGCGAACGGGCGAGGGGCAGCGGCGGCGCGGAGAAGCGUGGAGCUGCCGGCGCCUCCUCCCCAGACUCGUGUCCCAGGAGCUUCUGCUGACAAUCCCAGUUUCCAAGGGAACCCUUUCGGCCAUGGUGAGGGCUGCGCCCCCUUCUCUGACUUGCCUUCAGCCAUGAAUGGAUGGGUGUGAUGCCUGCUAGCCAAAAGGGGUCCUUCUGUGUGUUGCAGUCUUGUGGCAUUCUGCAGGCACCCUGCCCGUGACCCCAGGCUUUUUAUGGCUGUGAGACUUACUAAAAGCUCAGGGUAAGUGACCAAUGUCUGUGUCACCAAGGGGUGGAAAGAAAAUUAUGGGCCACUGGCCCUAGGAUCAGGCGAGAGUUCCAAAGAUGACAGACACAUGUAUGCUGCCACUUUCUGUGACAAUUGUAUGACUUUUCCACAUAGGUACCUUCCGGGCUGGGUGGUGGCUCGGUGGUUAAAGUGCUUGCCUUGCCAGCAUGAUGGCCUGAGAUCAGUUUAAUGCAAAACAAAACAAAACAAAAAAAGCUUGAAGCACUGAGGAAGUCGAGACAGAUCAAUCUAACGGCUUGCUGUCCAGUCAGUCUGACCUAUCUAGUGAGUUCUAGGUCCCAGUGACAGACCCUGCCUCACAAAACAAGGUGAAUGGCUCCUGAGGAAUGAUACUCUUGGCCUCCACACAUGUCUAUAUAUAUGCAUAUGUCCCUCUGCAAGCAUGAACAUUCCUGCAUAUACACAUUCACACCCCAAACAGAAUGAACUAAAAGAAAUCCCAUUUGUACCAGGUCAUGGGUCAUAGUUUCAAUAAUAUGUCCAAAUACAAAGUUGGCUCAAAUUGUUCCCAAAGGGCCAGAGAGUGACUCUAGUUACCCUUCUGAGCCACAGACAUUGUCUGUUGUGGUUAGGCACUUCUGCUGUUGGUUAACAGAAUUAACCAUGGGUACUUGAAAAAAAAAAAAAAAAUGAGUGGCAUUACUAUGUCCCUCUAAACAUUGUAUACCCAAAUAAUCAUUGUGCUAUAUUGACCCAAGGGCUUUGGUUUCCUCCCCCAUCUGCUGACACAUCGAGGUUGGGGUGCCAUCCAUGAACUUGACAGCUCACAGGUUACUAGUCUCUCUUGACCCUGCACAAAUGAUGAAUGAGGAAGAAACAGGCAUUUGAAAUACAUGCUCUUCCAGCCUGGCAGGAGACUGCCAGGCCGAAGCAUGGUGGACUGUAUGUGAAUGGUUUCUUCCAUGUGAUGGGAAAGCUCUUCCAUCCCUCUCACUCCCCAGUCACCUUCGCUUUCAUUAGCUAACCCAGGGGUGGUGGGAUGCUCUUUUAUUUGUGUGAGUCAUGUGGUCUCUGAGCUCGGUCUGUGUUACACUUGAUGGACACGCUGUUGAAAUAUCUCUUUAGUAUCAUAUAUGGAUGAAGGGAUACACGGGUAGAUUAUGGCAGGCUAAAGAUCAAAUGCCAAUGAAGAACGAUUAAAUUUCCUUUAAUCAUCAGAAUCUGAGAGGGCUUUAAGAUCUUCCACCUUUAAUAUAGGCCUUAAUAAAUAAUACUGCUUUGAAUGUCUGCGUAUGUUU
rnacentral:lncRNA from 1 species